AUUGAACGCUGGCGGCAUGCCUUACACAUGCAAGUCGAACGGCAGCACGGGGCAACCUGGUGGCGAGUGGCGAACGGGUGAGUAAUGCAUCGGAACGUACCUUUCAGGGGGGGAUAACGUAGCGAAAGUUACGCUAAUACCGCAUACGGUCUAAGGGAGAAAGCGGGGGAUCGCAAGACCUCGUGCUCAUGGAGCGGCCGAUAUCUGAGUAGCUAGUUGGUGGGGUAAAGGCUCACCAAGGCAACAAUCAGUGGCUGGUCUGAGAGGACGACCAGCCACACUGGAACUGAGACACGGUCCAGACUCCUACGGGAGGCAGCAGUGGGGAAUUUUGGACAAUGGGGGCAACCCUGAUCCGGCAAUGCCGCGUGAGCGAAGAAGGCCUUCGGGUUGUAAAGCACUUUAGGCUGGAAAGAAAAAGCUUUGGCUAAUAUCCAAAGCCUUGACGGUACCAGCAGAAUAAGCACCGGCUAACUCUGUGCCAGCCGCCGCCGUAAUAC
rnacentral:rRNA from 1 species